GAUGAACGCUGGCGGCAGGCUUAACACAUGCAAGUCGAGCGGAGAUGAGGUGCUUGCACCUUAUCUUAGCGGCGGACGGGUGAGUAAUGCUUAGGAAUCUGCCUAUUAGUGGGGGACAACAUUCCGAAAGGAAUGCUAAUACCGCGUACGUCCUACGGGAGAAAGCAGGGGAUCUUCGGACCUUGCGCUAAUAGAUGAGCCUAAGUCGGAUUAGCUAGUUGGUGGGGUAAAGGCCUACCAAGGCGACGAUCUGUAGCGGGUCUGAGAGGAUGAUCCGCCCCACUGGGACUGAGACACGGCCCAGACUCCUACGGGCGGCAGCAGUGGGGAAUAUUGGACAAUGGGGGGAACCCUGAUCCAGCCAUGCCGCGUGUGUGAAGAAGGCCUUUUGGUUGUAAAGCACUUUAAGCGAGGAGGAGGCUACCUGGAUUAAUACUCUAGGAUAGUGGACGUUACUCGCAGAAUAAGCACCGGCUAACUCUGUGCCAGCAGCCGCCGUAAUAC
rnacentral:rRNA from 1 species